rnacentral:lncRNA from 1 species
CCUGCUGUUGUUUGGAAGCCAAGGGCAGAUGGCUUCGGUCAUCAAGAAAUGUUCUCAAACAUCACUAGCAGCCACCGCACAUUCUCCUCGUCUUCGUUGUUGUCACGUAACUAAAUGCGUACAGACCUGCAUAUUGUCAUUGUACCACACCUUUCCACAAAGACAUAUACAUAGAAAAUAGCAGAAAAAAUAAUAUGAAAAAAAUUAAGGCACCAGAUCGAAUCAACUUCGUACAGAAGUUCUGGUCAAGACCUUUUCUGACAAAGCUAUAUAUAAGAAAGUGAGUACCAUAAGAAAAGAUACAUCAAUCGAAAUGAAAAAUUACUCUGGAUACAGUCCAAUUCAUGGAAAUUUUAAUUCAAGUAGCACCAAAUAUCCAACCCUAGUCCAUUCAUCACUAAGUCAAAUAGUCUCUACAUGCACACAUCUAGAGACAAUGAAAAAUAAAACAAGAUACUAUUUUUUGACCAAGAAUUUCGGCACUAGAAUAAAUUAUGGUUUAACUCCUUUUUAAAAGCAAUGUUUGAGGAAAAAGAAACUCCUUUGCAUAAGCUUCUCAUAGGCACUGCAUUUGCAUUUUUCUUAAAUCAUAAAUUGCUUCCACCAAGAGCUCAGCAAGUAAAAACAUGGAAAAACAUUAGCAUCUAGAGACAUACCU